CUUCUUUAAACCUUAAUGGUUAACCGACUAUAUUUAUACUGAUGGUUGUACAUGUUCUCGUAACAUACCAUUGUCUAGAAACUGUAACUGGAUAUACAGAUAUGAAAUAAUUUAUUGUUAUUUUACAGGUAAUAGAAGGUUGGAGGGGAUUUUUUUUUAUUAUUAUAAAAUGGCAAUGUUUAAACUUGAAAGAAAAAAAACCUUUCUUAUUUUCAUGUACUAUGUAAGUGCUUGUAUGUGUAGCCUCUGUAACAACCUUCUUUAAACAUAUAUCCCAAUAAUAUCCUGUUUUACCAAACAUGUUUCCCUUUUUUUUCCUUCUUUUUCAUCUUAUAUAUGUACAUAAAUAUAAUAUGUUGGAAAGUCCAUGGGAUAAUUUAUGGGGUUGAAGAAACGUUUGUAUUUAAGGUUAUUGGUUACUGUAGUUUUUUUUUCAUUUAAAAUUUAUUUUCCUUGUGUUUUAUGCAAUAGGUAAAUAUAUAUUCCUUCUCAUACCAUUCUUUGGAAUAAUUGGAAACUUUAUAUAAACUAGUAAAAACUACUUUUAAGCGGAAUCUCAAUGGACUGAUAAAAUCUGCCCGCCCGCUAUAUGUAUAAGAAGUCUACCUCAUCGAAUGAAUAUAGUGGUUGCGUGUUCUAGGCAAUAUGUGCGGUUCGUCUAAAUCUGGUAAUUAGAACUGGAUUUAUUCCAGGAAAAAAACAACACUUUUAUGUUUUGGGAAAUGAAAUGUGGCCUCCUAGCUCGCUGCAUAUGAAUCCCUUGGACUGCUAUGUAUAGGCUUUUUAAGUGAGAGACCAAUAAACGUGAUCACAAUAAUGUUGACUUCUUGCGGGCUAACAUUUUCGAAGCAGUCUCCAACAUGGACAACGAGUUCUUCAUCAAGGCUUGCGCUAUAUUCAAGGACACUUUGGAGGCUGUGGUUGAAGCUAAGGGUAGUUUGAUUGAGUGAUUGACAGCGCUAUAAAUCCCUACAUAUACAGGGUGAGGACUCAAAAAUUAGAAAGUUAUAAAAUCCAUUAUCACUUCUAUAUAUUUUUAUGAUGUGCUAAUUAUUUUGCCAAAAUUUUGAAGCAAAAGUAGGUAAUUUUCUUGCCUUCCAAGACGCACCAAACAGCAAAGUUGAAGGAGUUCACGCCGGGUGAGCAACAAGUCCAGUAGUCUGCCGUCCAGAAGGCAGCCAUGUUCUCCAUGAAGAAGGAGUGCUGUUAGAUUUGUGAAUUGCUAAAUAUACAUAUAUAUUUA
rnacentral:lncRNA from 1 species